rnacentral:rRNA from 1 species
AGCGAACGCUGGCGGCAGGCUUAACACAUGCAAGUCGAGCGGGCAUCUUCGGAUGUCAGCGGCAGACGGGUGAGUAACACGUGGGAACGUACCCUUCGGUUCGGAACAACUCUGGGAAACUGGAGCUAAUACCGGAUACGCCCUUAUGGGAAAGGUUUACUGCCGAAGGAUCGGCCCGCGUCUGAUUAGCUAGUUGGUGGGGUAACGGCCUACCAAGGCGACGAUCAGUAGCUGGUCUGAGAGGAUGAUCAGCCACACUGGGACUGAGACACGGCCCAGACUCCUACGGGAGGCAGCAGUGGGGAAUAUUGGACAAUGGGCGCAAGCCUGAUCCAGCCAUGCCGCGUGAGUGAUGAAGGCCUUAGGGUUGUAAAGCUCUUUUGUCCGGGACGAUAAUGACGGUACCGGAAGAAUAAGCCCCGGCUAACUUCGUG